GCUAAUAACUUGGAGGAACUCCACCUUACACUGAAGCAUGCCAUCAGCAAAGGACAGUCACUAGUGAAAGCCGGGCUGGAAUAAACCCUGACAGACUGAAGACACUAAGAGACAGGCCCCUGUUUUCAACCGAGCAGCUAGCAGCACCUACCCGGAUUCCUCCUCCUGGCUCCCCUGGGUUCUCUGAGACACUCCAGCCCGCCCACCACUGUCUGUCCAGUCUUUUUCUUACUUCUCCGACUGCAACCUUGUGCUCUUUUUUAGCACUGAGUUCCAAGUAACCCUUCUUUUCUCUCACUGUGACAGACCUAUUGGCAUUUAGUGUUCAUCAAUCUAUCUCUCUCCCAGUGACUAGGAGGUUUGAAAAGUCUAGACUCAGCAGCACUUUUGGGGGGAAGGUGCUCUGGUCCCGGGGGAGAGUUAGUAAGGAGCGGUGGGUUGAUCAGUCAGUCCCAACAUUUGGGCUUCCAGAGCACCAGGCAGUCCUUCCUCUAGCUGGAAGCCCCACUUUCUCAUGGACCAUGGCUUAGAUAGUCAUUUGCUCCCUGACCUAAUCCAAAUCGACCUUUCUAGAGGGAAGAACAUUCAUUGUACUUAAAUGGAAUCUGCCCUAACUCUCUAAUUGUGAAACCCGAGCCGCCCUUUGCUAGCACCGUCUGAACUGCGUCUGCAAGCUGUGGAGAUCUUAAGUCUCUGGUGAUGAUGCAACCGGGAAGCAAACAAUAGCUGCUUCUGUGCCGGAGAAGAUGUGGGAUUUGCAUAUGACUGACAGUUAGAAAGCUAAGAACUGUGGUCUAUCGUUCCUUAAUAGAAGUUUUAUUCAACCGCUCUGUCAUGAUUGGUUAUCUGCACAUUUUCAAACCAGAGAAACCGCUCUGUCAUGAUUGGUUAUCUGCACAUUUUCAAACCAGAGAUUGUUUUUUCUUCAUGGUUUGGAAAAUUCCAGUGGCACUCUGCAGUUUCCUUAUUGACAGAAGCCAUCAGGCUCCCCGAGAGGGUCUUAUCUGCCAGGAACAGCCGUUACUGCCGAGCUGCCAGACAGGUUCAGUGGGACUACACAGCUGUGGAGAGCUGCAGGCCAGGCGGGGUGAAUUCCCGGCUUUCUCCUUUCAAGGACUGCAGGCUUUGACCUCAGCCAAUGAGAACGAGGCCUUUCCUACAGCUUCAGCUCCGAAGAGCAGCCCUAAAGUAACCAACCAACUGGAGCCUUUGACGGAGGAGGCUGGUGAUCCGAGAAGAUGACCUGCAAGGACUCAGUGCUCUGCGCUGGAAGGAUUGGGGUUGAGAUGACCUCUCCCUUCUCUGCCUGUGGAGAAGGAUGCUCUUCCUUCUAGUGUCAAAAGGAGGAUACUAGAUGUAGAACAAGGAUGACUGGACUGCUACUCACAUCACCAGGGAGGCUACCUGGAAAACAGGACCCCAAGAAAGACACGGGGAUCACCCAAUGAUGGAGAAAUGGAUGAAAUCUACAUGAACAGCCUGGACAUGAGUAGAGGCUUCUCAUCUGUGAAGUGGGGAGAGGACACCAGGUUUCUCAGAGCUAUGACGACCAGUGAGAAGAUAAAGGAUGUAGUGUUUGUCGAAGAAAGGAUCCCCAAAGAUGUUGGUUUUUCCUUCACUGUGUUGGAAGAGAGCCCAGUGACUGAUCUAAACUGCCUACUGGUACAAAGAACCUCUGGUGAGGUUCAUGUAUAUACAGUUGGGAAACAAGUAGACCUUUGGGUAGGAGAAGGGUGAGGACACUUCCAAGUUGCAGAUCACGGAGGCAAGUGGGCCAGCAGCUGUCUAAGAGACUGGAAUACUGGGGAUAUCAAAUGUGAAGAGCAGGGUUUGAGGAAAUUGUUUCAGUCACAGCAUGGGUCCAAAGGAACUGUGUGUGAAUUCAAAGUACAAUGACUAGAAAAGGUCGAGUACAUUUACUCAGCCAAGCUCUUAUGAUUUCCUUAGCCCACUGGGAUGUGGCCAGAAAUAUCAUGGGCCCUAAGAGGCACGCUGCAGGCAACUAUUCCACCUUCUGCCAGGGAGCAGACUCUGCCUGGUAGUGAACUACUUGGAUCUGAAUAUCCACAAAUAGAAAGAAUUCUUUGUAUGCCUCCAAGAUUCUGAGGUUGUCAUACAGUUCCUGUGGAAGUCAGAAGAGGGCGUUAAAUCCGCAGGAACCAGGGAUCUGGAGUUAGAGAAGAUUAUGAGUCAUCUGGGGGUGCUGGGAACUGAACCCAGGUCCUUUGCAAGAGCAACAAGUGUAUAAACUGCUGAGCCAUCUCUCCAGCCUUAGCAACUGACGCAGUUUUGUUACGUCCGAAAGUUUUAACCCAGGAACUGCAGACUGUGGUUCUAACAGCAGCCAGCAUUAUAAAAUUUUGCUGCAUUACUCAACCGGCCCUGCGUAUGGGUGACCUGGUGGCCAGUGUGAGAUCUGGAUAGCAGAACGUUUGUGGGUUAGACUCUGGUUGUACACAGACCUAGUUGUACAUAGCUCAGUGGUGAACUCAGGUGGAAAAUCCACCUCCUUGGCCUCUCCGGUACUUUCCAAGUCCCUUUUAUUCCUCACUUUGGUUGUCUUGCAGUCAAGGGAAAGCAAUUAGUUAUGGAGCUGUGCUGUACACUUAUGUAACUGCUUGCAUUCAGAACGAAGCAGCAAAUGUCUAGAGAGAAAUAAACCGCGCGGGCUUGUCCUAUCCUCUCACUAUUUCUUACCAGAGGCUCCAUGGUGGUCUCCAUCACCAUCAGACUGCUGGGAAGCUGGAGCACAAGGUAACUGAGAGAAGCCCUGAGGAUUUCUGCACGUUCUCUGAGCGUCCGUCCGUCCGUCAGGAGCUCCCACCCAGCUCUGUAAGAGAAUUCGAGAGGGGCUUCCUUGGGAGCCGGGAUGGUUAAUGUCGAUCAUUCAGUUGGCAAUGACUGGAAGCGCACAGGAGGAGACAAACCUAGGAACAGAUCUGAGAAAGACUUAAAGACUUGAGUAAGAAGGCCCUCCCUAUAUGUGGGAGGUGCUGGUCCACGGUCUGGAGAGCAGACAGUGAGCCCCACAUUAGCAUUCAUUUCCGUCUGCUUCCUGGCUGUGGCUGCCAUAUGACCAGCCAUCUCCUCUUCCUGCUGCUGCUGUGCCUUCUCUGCCAUGAUGGACUGCACCCUCCAACUGCGAGGCAAAAUAACCCUCCCUUCGUCAAGUACUGCUAGCAGGUAUUUUCUCACAGUAACAAGCACAGUGACUAAUGUAGAAGCUUCCCCCUCGGGGGCUCCAGGUUUGAGGCUGCAUUAUAGUCAGGUUGAGAGAUACUGAAAGACUCCAGACAUCUGCAAUCCAGCUGUUGUUCUUUUUAGAGUACUCAUGUGGGGGCUGCAAGCACACCAGCUAGGCUUCAUAACUGAGCGAUAUCCAGAUACUCUAAACCCCAGUCUGUCUUUCUGCUCCACAGUUAUUUCAUACUGAACUUGUCAUGACUACAUUCCGGGGCACGUAUCCAAACCUGUGGGUGUACCUUCAGUUUUCAUUGCUACAUUUUAUCAGAAAGAUUUCUCCUGUUUUCUCUCUGUCUGUAGCAUGUAGACUAAAUAUAACCAUGAUUCAUGUAUUAAACGCGCAUCCAUUUAAUUUACUCCUGGGGUAAACAGAGACAUAAAACUUCUCGUACCUCCAGGCAGUCUUGACUUCGGCAUUGAACUUUGUUGGGAGCUUUGUUCCCUUUUUAUUUGAACAAUCUUUGGGCAUGUAAUUAUGAGGUUGCCGACUGGUGUGCAUAGUGAAAAAAAAAAGUUUUCAGAUUAGUGAAUGUCUUCUCCAUUUAAAGAAAAACACUUCCCUUCCCCCAGAGUUCUUGAUAAAAACAGCAUCCCUAUUGGAUCACUAAAUUAUUUAAAAAAAAAUUUAAAGAUACAUAUUAGAUAAAAUAUGCUAACAAUAAAACACUGUGUUUCUAAGGUAA